rnacentral:sRNA from 1 species
GACCUAAACUUUCAGAUUGUCUGGAAGCAUGGUCACAAAUCGCUCUAGACGGCAGAAAGCCCGUCAUUUAGGGAUACGUCUAGAGCGUCAUAGGGGGAAACUUCUAUGGGGUCGCAAGACCC